GACGAACGCUGGCGGCGUGCUUAACACAUGCAAGUCGAACGGAAAGGCCCUGCUUUUGUGGGGUGCUCGAGUGGCGAACGGGUGAGUAACACGUGAGUAACCUGCCCUUGACUUUGGGAUAACUUCAGGAAACUGGGGCUAAUACCGGAUAGGAGCUCCUGCUGCAUGGUGGGGGUUGGAAAGUUUCGGCGGUUGGGGAUGGACUCGCGGCUUAUCAGCUUGUUGGUGGGGUAGUGGCUUACCAAGGCUUUGACGGGUAGCCGGCCUGAGAGGGUGACCGGCCACAUGGGGACUGAGAUACGGCCCAGACUCCUACGGGAGGCAGCAGUGGGGAAUAUUGCACAAUGGGCGGAAGCCUGAUGCAGCAACGCCACGUGCGGGAUGACGGCCUUCGGGUUGUAAACCGCUUUCGCCUGUGACGAAGCGUGAGUGACGGUAAUGGGUAAAGAAGCACCGGCUAACUACGUG
rnacentral:rRNA from 1 species